rnacentral:rRNA from 1 species
AGUGAACGCUGGCGGUAGGCCUAACGCAUGCAAGUCGAACGGCAGCACAGGAGAGCUUGCUCUCUGGGUGGCGAGUGGCGGACGGGUGAGGAAUACAUCGGAAUCUACCGUUUUCGUGGGGGAUAACGUAGGGAAACUUACGCUAAUACCGCAUACGACCUACGGGUGAAAGUGGGGGACCGCAAGGCCUCACGCGAUUA